rnacentral:lncRNA from 1 species
GUUGUUGGUAUUGUUGUUGUUGUAUGUGUUCGUUCUUUGUUGCGGUUGUUGUUGUUGAUAUUGAUGUUGCUGUUGUUGUUAAAUUGGUGUUGCUUGUUGAUUAUAAAAUACAGAAAUUACUGAUGACACUUGAUGAUGAUGAUGUUGACGGGGUGAUGGAUUUCUUCUGAUCUGAGGCCUCCUCUACCUCCCACUGAUUACUACGUUCGCU